AGAAGCAGUAAAUGGGGAAGAAAGGGAAUGGGUAGUAUUUUAACAAUAAGAAAUCUAUUUACAGCAAGAUGAAAAAUUUUAAAGUCAAAGGCAGAACUCUUCUUUACAAAUGAAGGAAAGAUCUCAAACCAAAGCCACUCACAGUUGAGAGAAAGGUGCUUUUAAUUGCAGUGGUGUGCUUGCUGAAAUGGAGAUUGUAAGACAAAGAAAUAACAAUAGUGAAUAUAUCGUGGUAUGGAAGAACAGUGGCACCCACUUUCAUUUCAGGAUGCCAGAAUAAUUUCAGACUUCCAGAAAUAAAUGAUUAUAAUGGAUAGAGUGAUCACCAAAGCUGGAUGCUGGUGCCUGUGCUACUUCCUGGGCAAGCACUGGGGGUGGUGUGGAGCUUGUACUGCUGAAAGAUCCUCAGCUGCAAAUUAAUGUUGUGACUGCAUCAAACCCAUGUCCACCGUGUCCUGUGUCAUUUCAGACAGCAGGGAUUUGUGAGCAUCUGCUCACAGAGGAGCAUGUGUACUGCUCGUGGAUGGUGACUCAGUGAAAAGGAAGCACAGUGGUACCAAAUGCCUGAAUGACCAGCUAAUUGAACAGGAUUGAUUGAAGAAAGACCUCCAGGGGAACCAGCCACGGUUUAAUGCCUUAGCUUAGGCCACACAUGGUGCUCCAAGAGAACACAGCACACAUUACUGGAGUCUGGAUUGCGCAUUACUCCCACCAGCUCUUUUCUCCAUGAAGAGUAAACCUGUGCAUGCAUCACACUGACUACAGAUUUAAGCCUGGUUUACCAGAAUUCUGUCCA